rnacentral:lncRNA from 1 species
CCGGAUUUCUACUGUAAGCCUCCACCCGAGCUUCCCUUAUGAACGAAUUCCUUCCAGACUUCUAUUACAGGCAGGCUUCGAUCGAGCUUCCUCAACAAAUGAUCCCCAUCCGGACUUCUACGGGAACCAGAAAGCCCCUGACCAAGCUUCUACAGCAGAUGACCUUCGCCUGCAGUACUAGCACCCAAGGCACCCAAUGGUAGAAAGUUUGUCAGCA